rnacentral:rRNA from 1 species
AUACGGAGGAUCCGAGCGUUAUCCGGAUUUAUUGAGUUUAAAGGGUGCGCAGGCGGCCAUUUAAGUCAGCGGUUAAAUCGUGGGGCUCAACCCCAUUCUGCCGUUGAUACUGGGUGGCUUGAUUGCGGUCGAGGUUGGCGGAAUUCGUUGUGUAGCGGUGAAAUGCAUAGAUAUGACGAAGAACACCGAUUGCGUAGGCAGCUGACCAGACCGCAAAUGACGCUCAUGCACGAAAGUGCGGGGAUCGAACAGGAUUAGAUACCCUGGUAGUCCGCACAGUAAACGAUGAAUACUUGUUUUCGGCGAUAUAAUGUCGGAGGCAAAGCGAAAGCGAUAAGUAUUCCACCUGGGGAGUACGCCGGCAACGGUGAAACUCAAAGGAAUUGGCGGGG